AGGAUGAACGCUGGCGGCGUGCUUAACACAUGCAAGUCGAACGAUUGAAGCUGGAGCUUGCUCUGGCCGAUUUAGUGGCGGACGGGUGAGUAACGCGUGGGUAACCUGCCUCAUACAGGGGGAUAGCAGUUGGAAACGACUGGUAAAACCGCAUAAGCGCACGGUAUCGCAUGAUACAGUGUGAAAACACUCCGGUGGUAUGAGAUGGACCCGCGUCUGAUUAGCUAGUUGGUGAGGUAACGGCCCACCAAGGCGACGAUCAGUAGCCGGCCUGAGAGGGUGAACGGCCACAUUGGGACUGAGACACGGCCCAAACUCCUACGGGAGGCAGCAGUGGGGAAUAUUGCACAAUGGGGGAAACCCUGAUGCAGCGACGCCGCGUGAGUGAAGAAGUAUUUCGGUAUGUAAAGCUCUAUCAGCAGGGAAGAUAAUGACGGUACCUGACUAAGAAGCACCGGCUAAAUACGUGCCAGCAGCCGCGGUAAUACGUAUGGUGCAAGCGUUAUCCG
rnacentral:rRNA from 1 species